AGGUCCCACUCCUCACCUAACAAGAAAAUUGUCAAGAAGCUGCUGCUGGAAGACACUGCAACCGAAGACGGUGGUUGUGAACAUGAUAGUCCAAAGCCUAGUUCUAACGAUGAUGCCUAGGAGGAGGAAGAGGAAAAGCUCAUUUUGUAUUUGCACAGUUGCAAUCAUGGCUCGACAUGCAUCUGACAGUCUACUACUUGAUGCAAUCUAUUUAGCCAUUUUAGAACUUUGUGCUCUCAGCAUUACUGAACUCUCUUUUGGAUAUCGCAUGAUUGCAAACUGUGUUAUCUCCGCCUUCCUCUUAUUUGGAUCAGUAUUCCAAGCUACCUGCUAAAAUGUACGGUAGCUACUAAUGCUGAUUGUCUAAUGUAAUAUCGCUUGGCAGAAUCUACUGGCUGCAGAUGCCAUUCAAUGAACAAUAUUAGAGCUAUUAAGAUAUUUGCAUGGGAUAUUUCAUAUUAUUAUGGUUCAGUUUGUGGCACA